GGGCUGGUAGUUAAACCUGGUAUAACGCGCCCCUGGCAGGGGUGAGGCUCCGGGUUCAAAUCCCGGCCAGUCCA
rnacentral:tRNA from 1 species